rnacentral:rRNA from 1 species
GAUGAACGCUGGCGGCGGGCCUAAUACAUGCAAGUCGAGCGAACAGAGGAAGAUCGUGCUUGGCUUACGCGACCGACGGGCGAGUAAUGAACAGGAAGAUAACCGGCAGAGAAGACUAAGAUAAGGUCGCGAAAGCGGAUCCAACACAGGACAAGAUAGUGAAACGGAGGGAUCAACAGAGAAAGAGGUAUUAGCUGUGACUUAGAGAGAGAACCUCGCCGCAUUAGCUAGUUGGUAAGGUAACGGCUUACCAAGGCGACGAUGCGUAGCCGACCUGAGAGGGUGAUCAGCCACACUGGAACUGAGACACGGUCCAGACUCCUACGGGAGGCAGCAGUAGGGAAUCUUCCGCAAUGGGCGAAAGCUUGACGGAGCCACGCCGCGUGUGUGAUGAAGGUCUUCGGAUCGUAAAGCUCUGUUAUUAGGGAAGAACAACUGUGUAAGAAACUCUUCCCGUCUUGACGGUACCUACUCAGAAAGCCCCGGCUAACUACGUG